AUAGUUAACUUAGGGGAAAGUAAUAUUGAGGAAAAGUGUUUAGUUUAAAUAAAAUUAUAAAAAAAAUAAUAGUUUAAUUAUUUAUAUUUAAUUAAUUUAAAGUAGUUAUAAAUAAAGAGUAUUGUAAGAGAAAAAGAUAAAAUAGAGUAAAGUAAGUUUAAUUUAUUGUACCUUUUGUAUCAGGGGUUAUUAAAAUAUUAUUUUUGAAUUUAAAAUUUCUCGAAGCUAGAAGAGCGAAUUAAGUAUUAUAGUUAAUGUUUAAUAAUUAUUAUAAAUAUUUAAUUAGUGAAUAUAUUUUAGUCAAUUUUAGGGAUAUCUAGUUUUUUUUGUUAAAAUUUAAUUUGAAUUUAAUUUAUAAUAUUAUUUAAGUUAAAAUAAAUAUAUUAAAAAUUAAGGGUAAAAAUUAUGGGAUAAUCUAUAAUUUUUUUUAAAAUUUUUUAUUAGGGAUGUAUAAAAAUAUAAGUAAAAAUAUUCAUAAUAUUGGAAUUUUUUAAUAAAAAUUUAAUAAUUUAUAAUAAAUAGUAGGGUAAAUUUUUAAGUGAUUUUUAUUUAAAAUUUAAUGUAUAAAAAAAAUAUUUAUUAAAAUUAGGUAAAUAAAUUAAUAAUGAUAAUAUUAGUAAAAUGAGUAAGAGUUUUAAAGUUUAAAAGAGAUUAUAAGUUAGUUUUAGGAAUUCGGCAAAAUAUAAAUUUACCUGUUUAAUAAAAACAUGGUUUUUUGAUUAUAAUCUAAAAUUGUUUCUGCCCACUGAAGUUAAAUUUGAAUGGCUGCAGUAUAUUAACUGUACAAAGGUAGCAUAAUAAAUAGUUUUUUAAAUGAAGACUGGGAUGAAUGAAUUGAUAAGGUUUAUACUAUCUUAGAUUAAAUUUAUUGAAUUUUUUAAUUAAGUAAAAAUACUUAGAUGAGGAUAUGGGACGAGAAGACCCUAUAGAAUUUUAUAUAAAUUUAUUAAAUUAUUUAGUAAAAAAUAUUAGUGAAUUUAUAUUUUAUUGGGAGGAUUAUUAAAUUAAUAUAACUUUAGUAUAAAUAAGUAAAAAUCAUUAAUAAAUGAGUAUGAAAAGAAUGAUUAUUAAAUUUAAUUAGAAUUAAUUACCUUAGGGAUAACAGCAUAAUAUUUUUAGAGAGAUCUUAUUAAUAAAAAUGAUUGUGACCUCGAUGUUGAAUUAAGAUAAAAAUUAAAUGAAGGAGUUUAAUAUUUAAGUCUGUUCGACUUUUAAAAUCUUACAUGAUUUGAGUUUAGAUCGGUGUGAGCCAGAUCGGGUUCUAUCUAUAUUUAAAUUAAAAUUAUUUGUACGAAAGGACUUUAAUUUUUAAUAAUAUUAAAUUUAUAGUAUUACUUUGGCAGAUUAGUGCAUUAAAUUUAGAAUUUAAUAUUAAAUAUAAUAAUUU
rnacentral:rRNA from 1 species